rnacentral:rRNA from 1 species
CCUACGGGAGGCUGCAGUGGGGAAUAUUGCGCAAUGGGCGAAAGCCUGACGCAGCGACGCCGCGUGAGGGAUGAAGGUCUUCGGAUCGUAAACCUCUGUCAGCAGGGAAGCACGGUCACUGUGCUAAUCAGCAGUGAAUUGACGGUACCUGCAAAGGAAGCACCGGCUAACUCCGUGCCAGCAGCCGGGGUAAUACGGAGGGUGCGAGCGUUAAUCGGAAUUACUGGGCGUAAAGCGCUCGUAGGCGGUAUGUCAAGUCAAGGGGGAAAUCCCCGCGCUCAACGUGGGAACGGCCUUUGAAACUGGCAAACUGGAGUGUGUGAGAGGAUAGUGGAAUUCGAGGUGUAGGAGUGAAAUCCGUAGAUAUCUGGAGGAACAUCAGUGGCGAAGGCGACUAUCUGGCACAUAACUGACGCUGAGGAGCGAAAGCGUGGGUAGCAAACAGGAUUAGAUACCCUAGUAGUC